GGUUUCAUAGUGUAGUGGCUAUCACAUCUGCUUUAUAUGCAGUAGGUCCUGUGUUCAAACUCCAAUAAAACCA
rnacentral:tRNA from 1 species